ACCUGUUAAGUGAUUGUAACUCAAGUAAACACAUGUUUUUUACACAAACAAGAAAGACUGAACGGGAA
rnacentral:tRNA from 1 species